rnacentral:rRNA from 1 species
GUGCCAGCCGCCGCGGUAAUACCGGCAGCCCGAGUGAUGGCCGAUCUUAUUGGGCCUAAAGCGUCCGUAGCUGGCCGCGCAAGUCCAUCGGAAAAUCCACCCGCCCAACGGGUGGGCGUCCGGUGGAAACUGCGUGGCUUGGGACCGGAAGGCGCGACGGGUACGUCCGGGGUAGGAGUGAAAUCCCGUAAUCCUGGACGGACCACCGAUGGCGAAAGCACUCUGAGAAGACGGCUUCGACAGUGAGGGACGAAAGCUAGGGUCUCAAACCGGAUUAGAAACCCCUGUAGUCC